rnacentral:rRNA from 1 species
GCUUACGGCCAUACUACCCUGAAUGCUCCCGAUCUCGUCUAUCGAAGCUAACAGCGGGUCAGGCCUGGUUAGUACUUGGAUGGGAGACCGCCUGGGAAUACCAGGUGCUGUAAGCU